AGGAGGAAUGCUGAAUUCAGGAGGAAUGCCGAAUUCAGAAGGAAUGCGAAAUUCAGAGCAUCUUCAACUAACAACUUCCAAAAUUUUAUUAUGGGCAAUAUUUUUACUUCUUGUUGUGGCUGUUAUAUUGCUUGCAAUUUGGGAAUUUUAUGGAAAAUGUCAAACAUUUAUCAAGAAAUGUCGCAAGAAAAAAUCUUAGCCUAACGCAAAACUGAUUUACAACACAGUUUAAGUUUGUUCGUUUGAAUAGACCUUUGCUCAUCUCUCAUACACAGAUAUAUCAUUGCAGAGAAAUGUACAUACAUUUUUAUAUCUUUAUGAGUUUCGGAAAUGUAAAUAUUCGUAUUGAAACAAAUGAUGUCAUUUUUUUUAUGUGGAUAUAAUUACAAAAUACAUUUGUAUGUAGACUUUCUAGACGUCCACAACUGAUACACAGAUUUUUAUUCAUAAAUCACACCUUGUACACAAUUUUCAUAUUCUAAAUGUUGGUUACAUUGUGAUAACCAUUAUCUUUUCAUUUGUGUGUAUGAUUUGUUGAAAUUGAUAUGAUAUCA
rnacentral:lncRNA from 1 species